GUCGAAUCUGGUUCGGGUCAAUAUUACCAGGGAUCAGUAACACUGUCUUGGGACUUCAUUACAGCCCCAUAACCGAUCCUAUUGGACUAUCAGUGUCUGAUCUAUCUCUAUUCUCAUGGUUUCAGCGAUGACUCAUGAUCUGCUUGCAAACUAUCUUUAUUUACUGUAAGCCAAGGGUCUGAUUGAAGACGUCCUGACCCAGAUUUAGCCACAGGUCUCCCAUAAUGUGCUACCGACUCACACAGACCCAUCGUGUCCCUACCCUGAUGAGAGCGCCCUCGCCGGGACCAUACCGUAUUCAUAAAGGGACAAAAGCUAGGGACCUGGCAUUCAAAACGGGAAAUCGAGACGUCUUAAGAUGACCUUGUUUCAGAAUCAAAAACUUAUUGACUUGAGGCAGACGGAACCGGAAGU
ensembl:lncRNA